rnacentral:lncRNA from 1 species
AGCAAAGGAACUCGGGUAUCUGCCAAAUCAAAGGAAACUGAUACUGUGCAUUAAACACCAGCCUGGCCUUUUUCAGACUGGCUGGAGAGACAGCCCCAGGCCUGUGCAGAGUUUCUGGCCUCCUCCUUUCUACUCUCGGCCCUGAACUUGCCUGUAACUUGAAAGGGCUAAUUAAAGCCAAAAGAAAAAUCAAAAGCUUGUUAUCUUGCUCCAUUACUCCCCGUCCCGGCAUUAGCCUGUCUUGCAAAGCUGUUUUCCCUCUAUUCUCUCCAAGGCUACCACACGGUGUUAGGACCUGCAGCUCUGCAGACUUCCAUGAUGAACUUGGCUUUUU